AAAAUUGAAUAGUCCUUUUUUCGUAUAUCCUUAAUAAUUGGUUUAAGGGUCUCUACCGGGAACCGUAAAUUUCUGGCUACGAAAAUAUGCUCAGGCAUA
rfam:Paenibacillus wynnii strain DSM 18334 unitig_0, whole genome shotgun sequence.